CCUACGGGGGGCAGCAGUGGGGAAUAUUGGGCAAUGGAGGCAACUCUGACCCAGCAAUGCCGCGUGAGUGAUGAAGGUAAUUCUAUUGUUAAGCUCUUUUCUUUGGAACGAAUAUAUGACGGUACCUAAGGAAUAAGGCCUGGCUAACUACGUGACAGCAGCCGCGGUCAUACGUAGGGGGCAAGCGUUGUUCGGAAUGACUGGGCGUAAAGGGUGUGUUGGUGGUUUGGUAAGUUAGAGGUGUAAUACCGAGGGCUUAAAUCGGGUGCUGCAUCUAAAACUGUUAGACUUGAGUACUGGAGAGGAUAGUGGAAUUCCUGGUGUAGCGGUGAAAUGCGUAGAUAUUAGGAGGAACAUCAGGGGCGAAGGCGGCUAUCUGGACAGCAACUGACGCUGAGGCACGAAAGCGUGGGGAGCGAACAGGAUUAGAUACCCCAGUAGUC
rnacentral:rRNA from 1 species